CGCGGCGGCAGCAGCAGUGGGAGCAGGCACAGCAGCACCAGCACAGGGACCUGAGACCAACAUUCUCCAAUGGAGGUGGUGGGAAAGAGAUUGAGUAUAAGCAUUCUGCUUAUGGAUCUACAAUUUCAGGGCAAUGUCCAAGACAAGACCUGCUCCUGCCUGUGCUGGUAGAUAAAGAGGACAGUCAGAUCCCAGAGGAGUGCUGAAGGAAGACACCUGCCUGAACCACCAUCCAGCUCACAGCAUCCACCAGCAAUUCUAGGUGGCACCACCCAGAAGACUGGUAGCCUAGAGAGAAUACAUGGAAAGAGAGGCUGUUGCUGCUGCUUGCUGCUCCACGGCCUUUUGCUUGUUAUACCAUGGACUACUACUGCUCUAUGAAGCCCCUCUGCUGUGUCUUCCUGCUUUGGAACCAGAUGACUAUCUGAAACUCCUACAAAUGUGUGCCUCCUAUAAGAAGAGGAAAGAUGCCUGUUUAUCCUGUAUACAGAGGCGGAAGGGAUGCGAAGACGUGGCAAGAAUGUGGCCCUCUAUGAACCCGGAAGACAGGCCUUAGAAGGAGCCAGUCCUGCCAGUACACUCAUCUCGGACUUCUACCCUCCAGAAUUGGACAACGUACAUUUCAGUUGUUUAGGUCUCAAAGUCUGUCAUAAUAUGUUAUGGUGGCUUGAAAAUACUAACAUAGUCAUCAUUUGGAAAGAAUGAAUAUGAGGAGUAUACAGAGAUAUUUAAAGAGAAGCAAAGAACAGAAGCUUGUUUUUGUUUAUUUUCUGUUGCUAUAACAAAAUACCCAAAGUUGGCUGCUUUAUAAAGAAGAGAGGUUUAUAUAGCUCACAGUUGGAGGCCAAAAGUUCUAGAUUAGACAGCUCGUGUCUGUUUGGCCUCUGUUGUUGCUUUGGCUACAUCACAACAUAGUAGAGAAGAGGAAAAGGAAAUGGUAGUACAUAGAAGGAGCCAAAUACAUGGGACAGCUUUUUUUUCUUCCUUCUAAUUUCCCAACCUUAGAGACUUUUCUUUGGGAACAAGAAUAUACUCUCAUGAGAAAAGUGUUAAUUCUGUCACAUGGUGGUGGCCCUGUUACCUAAAUGUCUCCUAUUAGGACUCCUUCUAAUGAUUACACCUCCUCCUAACAUCAUCGUACUGAGAGCCAAGCUUCUAGUAUAUGAAGCAUUGGAAUUCAUGCUCAAACCAUAUCCAAACCACUGCAGAGCUCUUCCAAUCAUAAUUAUAUAACUACAUAAUUACAUAACUAUGUAAAAUAAAUGAGUAAGUCACAUCAGACUAAAGGUCAUCACAGGAAGUAGAAAAAUGAUUUAAAAAUACAACCCUCCAUACUAUCCCAAGAUAUUAUAAUAUUGAAGACGAUAUAACUUUUUUUGAAGUGAGAAGUCAUAGGAGAAAAGAUGGAUAGGAGAAGAGAAAGUUGUGAGAGAAGGAAUCUUUUAUUAGAAAAUUCUAGAAGUUUUGGACCAAGUCAAGCUGUUUAUGUGUAAAGGACACAGAUAAUCUCAGACAUGGCAGGAUGUGGUAAAUAGAAUAUCCCUGUGUUUUCCUUGAGAAAUGUACACGAUGAAAACUAAUACUAUUUAACAAAUAUUUAACAAAUAGAAAUCACAGAAGACUUCCUAUUUUUAAUGUAUUUGGAAAAAUUUUAAGUGAUAUGUAUAUGGACACAAAGAAAACUAUGAUGCAUUCUAUAGACUAAAACAUAAAGGAUUAGAUCAGAACAUACUAAAACUAGAAAUUUAGUAUAAAAAUGAAAUACAAUCUCAAUCACCUAGAAUUUACAAAAAUAACAAUAACUCAAUCACUUUUUAGAUGGAAGAGAUAAGAAAAAUGAAAUUGCAGAGUGUAUAGAAAAGAAUACUAUUAUAAAAACAUUAUAUACAGAAACCCACAUGUAUCUAAAGCCAUGCUUAGAAGUAUAUUCAUGUCCUUGACUACCAAAUUAAAUAAAGUUUUAACAUAAUUUUAACUGGCAAAAUUACCAGAAAGCAGAAGUAAGAAGUUAAAAAGAUAAUAGCAAACACUAGUGGAUGAGAAAACAGUAGAAUAAGAACUCCUGUGACAAGACAAAUCACCAGGUAAUCUAACUUUGAAAAGGUUGCAUAACUGUACAGCAUUAGGAAUCAAGAGAAAAGAUAACCAGAUACAGAGAGGAUUAUAAGAAAUGCUCAGGAUUUUCUUUUCACAAACAUAGUUGAAAGCCUGGAUAGACAAGUAAUUUUUCAAAAAGGUGCAUAUGACCAAAACUGACCUCAGCUGUUAGGGAAGAUUCCAACAAGGCAAAUACACAAUAGAAAAUGGGGAAAAAUUUGAGAAAUUACAGCCCCUUAACAGACAAAGGUCUUAAUACUCAUGAUAUUUUAAAUGUGAAUCUUUCAGACAUUUAGAAUAUAUAUCAAAGCACUAUGUAUGCUGUCCCAGAACUGACUUUAAACAUUUUUUUUUUGGUGGGGUAGGAUCUCACUAUGUAAACAUGUCAGCCUAGGCUUGAAUUCAAUGACUUUCCAGCCUCAGCCUCCCACAAUACGGAGAUUAUAGGCAUGUUCCUCCAUGCCCACGUCCAGGAUUAAAUUAAGAAAGGCUUUCAAAUGAGUUUUACAAAACUAUCAUGACACUGAAACCAAAUUCUAAAAAACAAACAAAAAAUCUAUACUUACUUUACCAAGUGGGAACAAACCCAAAGUUAAAAGACUGGUUUUAUAAAUUUACACAAUAGAGCAUAUGCAUCUACAGAGGGAUGCUAUCUUUAUAUGCGUGUGGAAAGAUAUUAUUUAAAAAACAGGGUUCAGAGCAACUGUAAUAUGCAUCUAUUUGAAUGAGAAUACAUAGAUUUAUGAAUGGAUCAUUUGAUGAAUAAACUAUUGUGGGUGGUAAUGAAUAUUAAAGCUAAGCUAAAAGUUGUUUUAAUGUAUCUUGACUUUUGUACUUUCAAAAAUUUUAUGAGCAUAUAUCUGUAUUAUUUUCAUUUAAUCAUUUAUCAGAUUCUUUAUACAAAAUAGAAUUUGUACAGUCAGUAGAUUAGCUGCUACUCUUGCAUUAUAUAACUGGUCUAGAAUUAAGGGCAUGACAUUUAUUUUACGCAUGUAUUUUCAUAAGAUAGCAUAUCGAGUAAGAUUGUGUUUUCUUUCUUUCUUUAUAAAAUAGAAUUGUCAAGUUGGUUAACUCCUGAAUAUUCUAUGAGAAACAAACUUACUACAAGGUUAUAGAAUUUGAAGUAUACUGAUCUGAUAUACCUCAUUAGAAAUACAUAAUUACUUUGCAGAAAUACUUGUUAUUGCAUUUUCCAUCAUAAAUUUCCAUUUUUCCUUCUAGCCAUUUGAAGAGACUAGCUAGUACACAGUACUUUAGAACAAACUAGCAUCAAAAGGUUCCAGUGUCCUCUUCCAACCUGUUACAAUUCUUGACCUUCAUUUAGCAUUCAAAUAAUGAGAAAUUUCUGAAAAUCUCACUUAUCUGGUAAUGGGACAGCUUAUGUUAACGCUGUACAUUUGACUGUUUGUCUGAUGAAUACUUUGCCUGAUGAGAUUUGUCUGGAAAACUUUUCACACAGGUUUACGCUCUUGCAGAAUGCCACAUGCGAAUAAUGAAUCUCUUCAGAGAGAUGAUUUUUCUUUUUGUGAGGAAAGAGUAUUUUGAACUGUGGCAUGAACAUUCCAGCGCCUGCAAUGGGGCAAGUGUUAUACUAUGAAGUGGUGUACAAGAAAUAGGGAAAAGACAAUCCAGAAAUGAGAAGAAGGUUAUUAAAAGUUCUGAGAUUGGGACACAGUUAUAUUUGCAGUGUAAGAUUUUGGAGACUCAUUGCUAAGGUGCACCCAGGCUUGAUAACUACUCUGUCGAAUUUUUAAAGGAAUAUUUAAAUAUGUGAUGCUUGGAGGGUCAGCACUGUCUUACCUUUCUAUAUUUGUCGAGGUGACAGCAACUUGGAACUCACAUACAUACUGUUUUUGAGGGUGGGGGCCACUGGUGCAUUCAUAAAUGUGGUUAGCAAAGUAGAGGAAUCCUCUUAGUUUUGGUCUGGGGGUGCUUCCUUGGUCCAGAACUUUUUUUUAGCAUUCUUGAACCCUGGCUAAUGAAGUGCUAAUGGGGUGUUAUUACUGGCUACUAGACCAAGGCAUCAGAGAGACAGGCUGGUAAACACCCUUUGAAGUAUGUGCCUAAUCCUUUGAAGUGCGCUUCUAGUGGGAAGAUAAGCACAUUUCCUGUAGUAGACAUCCUUAGUUUUGUGUCCUGACCCUAUGUUAUAGAUUCUAGGUCAACACAUUUGCUGGUCUUCAGGUAGUACUUAGGGAAAGAAAGUUCGUUAUGGAGAUGGUUUAGGGCUUGGCCUUCUCGUGUUUGACUUGGCCAACUUGCCUCAAAUAGGAAACCUCUAAAUAAUUAACUGUAAACUUGCUUAGGUGAUUUUUUAUAUUCUACCCUCGCAAAACACAAAUAGAAAUAUAGGUCAAACCCAGGGAAUAUAACCUGAGAUGCCACUCUAAACUUCUCAUUUUUAAUUUCUCUUCACUCUCCCUUCGCCAGCACUAUGAUUAAGGUAAAAAGCUGAAUCUUAUUGUGUUUUUUAAAAAUUUCCCCAGUUUUUAAAAUACUGGUUUUUUACUGAAGGAAUACUGAAUCUUUUUGAUGAAUGGAUAUGAGUGGAUUGGUUAUUACAUGCAUAAAAACCCAGAAGAAGUUGAUCUACUAAGUUUUUAAGAGUAGCAAUCUAUGCCUUUAGAUCAAACUUCAGCAAGAAAAAUUAAAGGUAACAUAUGGAUGCUUAUGUUUUACUUUUUUUUUUUGUCUUUUUCCUUUUUAUCGGUACCAGGGAUCGAACUCAGGACUGCCUGCUUGCAAGGCAGGCUCAUAUUUUACUUUUUACAAAAACAGACUUUAUUUUUAAAAACAGAUUUAGAUCACUAGCAAAACUGAACGUUAGGUAUAGAGAUUUCCCACAUCCCCCUUCCCUCAUACACACAGAUUCACUAUCUCUGUACCACAAUACUACGUUUGCUACAGUUGAUGAGCUCACAGAAACAUUUGUAUUACCAUCUACAUUUAGGUUUAUUCCCAGGGUUGUGCAGUCCAUAGGGUCUUGGUAUAUUUUUGUAGUACAUAAUAUCCCCAUUCCUUUUUGGGAACUGGUACACAUACAGGUUUAUUCCCUUAUAAUACCCCCCUCCCCAUUCAUCUCUUGGUUUUCUUUGCAAUAUGUAAUAUUUACAUUCCUUGUGUGGAACUGGUACUUUGUGCAGUGACAUGUACCUACCAUUAUAGUAUACAGCCGAUAAUGGAAUGGUAAUCGAGAUUGCCAUUUUAAGGCAGUAAAACUAAUUAUUUUAUACAUUUCCUAGCGUCAGUUAGUUUUGUUAAAAUGGCUUGUUUCAUUUAGUAAUGUGAGGUUAAAUUUCCUUCAUGUCUUUUUUAUGGUACCAGGGAUCACACUUCUGACCUUGCACUUGCCAGGCAGGUGAAUUAUACUCUUUGGUGGAUUCAUUCAUUGAUGAGUUCAGGAGCUGAAUGUGCUGUUACGAAUUGGAGUCUGCUUGGAUGUGUCACUUGGCCGUGACCUGGGAGAGUGUAGUCCUGUUUCCUGGCUAUCAGGGGAUGAGCAGACGUCCCCUCUCAUGCCUUCCAACAUGCUGCUUCUGCCUUGAAGUCUGCCCACUUUAGAACCCACUGGAAACUGUGAGGCAAACAAAUCUGGCCCCCUUUAAGUUGGGGGUAUCAGGUAUUUUGUUUCUGUAACAGACAAGUGACAAUUCUCUUUCCUUUAUCAGAAGUGUAGUUUGCAAAUGUUUUUUUCUAGUUUAUGGCUUGUCAUAUCACACUCUUGACAAUGUCUUUUCAGAGCUGACAUUUUACAUUUUAAAUGAAGUCUAUAAUUCUUUUAUAGACUGAAUCUUUGUUGUUAUGUUCAAAAUAAGACUGUCCAAUCUGAGGUAACAAGAUUUUCACCUAUGUUGUGUUUUAUAGUUUUUCAUUUUUGAGUUUUGAGAUCCAUAUCAUCCAAUUUGAGGUUAGUUUUAUUUUAUUGUGAAAGUGUCUAAAUUUUUUUUUUUGCAUGAUUUUCCAUUUCAGGACAGUUGUCAAAAGAUCAUCUCUUCUCCAUUGUAUUAUUGCCUUUACCCCUUGGUCCAGGCACUUGACUAUGUUCAAGUGUCUAUUUUUGAGCUUUCUAUUCCAUUGAUAUGUUUAUUCUUUCAGUAAUAUCACAUUCUCUGGAUUCCUUUAGCUUUACAAUAAGUCUUAAAGUCAGAUAGUGUGAAUUCUGUGACAUUGUUCUUUUUCUUUCAGUGUUAAAUUCAUUUUUCUAUUUCCCUCUCCAUAAAAAACUCUAGAAUUAUUUUGUCAAUAUCUGCAAACUAAGUUCCUGAGAUUUUUUUUAAGUUCCUGAGGUUUUGAUUGGAAUCUUAUUACAUCCAUAGGUUGUUUGGGAAGAAAUGCCAUUUUAACAAUAUUGAGUCUUCCUAUUCACGAUCACAGAACAACUCUCUAUUUACUUAAUUCUUUUAUUUCUUCCCUUAGAAUUUUAUAGUUUUUCUUCACAUAAAUAUACAUAUUUUGUUGGAUUUACACUCAAAUAGUUAUUUUUCUAGGUGCUAUUGUAAACGGUAUUGUGUUGUCAAAUUUAAAAUUCCAUUUAUUCAUUUGCUAUACACAGGGACAUGUUCGGCUUUUGUAUAUUAAUUUUGAAUAUUAAUCACUUAGUAGUUUCAGGAAUUUUUCUUUCAGAUUUUCUACAGAGAUGGUUAUAUCAUCUGGAAAUAUGAUAAAAGAAAGAAUAAGUAAAGGGAAGAGUCAUUUUUUAUUUUCAUUUUAUUGCUUUAAUCUUUUUUUCUUUUGAUUGAGAGAGGAUCUUGCUAUGCAGUUCAGACUGGCCUGGAGCUUACCUUGUAGCCCAGGCUGGUCUCGAACUCGCAACAAUCCUCUUGCUUCAGUCUCCCAAGUGCUGAGAUUACAUGUAUACACCAGCAUACCAACAAUGAUUAAGCUUUAGUGAGUAUAUAGAUAACUCUAGCUCCAAGAGCUGUGUUCUUUACUCUCCAAAAAUAUUUCUUGGGAUGUAACAAAAUUUAAGUCCUCACCAUAGUAAUUUUAUUAAGUUAGUUACUUUAUAAAACAUUGCAGACAUCAUAAUUCUGAACAUAGCAAUUUACCAAGCAGUAGUUAACUGGUGAGGUUUGCUGGGCAUGUUUUAGAAAGGAAAGGAAAUGCCAAAACCUCCUUAAAGUUGUUCCAUUGCAGCCUAGAAAAACAGAGAGUUGUUUCUUAGACACUUGAAUCAGAUAGUUUCCCUCUUCUGUUCUGAAGCACAGCUCUGGUAGAAAUAGUCUAAUAAGUUAGUACGAGGUAGUAUAUGCACUCAACAUAUUCCACAACUUGUACUUAGUAAAGGAGAGGUCUACCUUUCUUCAGCUUCAAAGUUGGAGGGUUUUGGUCAUUUAAUUUUUAAAUAUCUUCUCUUGAGAUAAGCAGUCUUUUUGACAAUGGAUUUUUCAUAUUCUCAUGCUUAAUAUUAAGACAAAGCAAUUUUAAUACUAGCUGUAGCCCACAUGCCCUUGCUGCAAUCUAUUUUUCUUGGCAAGACAGGCAGUAGUUCAAGGAGGUGUGGUUAAGGCCGUGUUACCGAAUGGUGGUAGCAAGUACUACAUAGUCUUUUUGUCAUGUUGCAGCCUUCAUUUCCAACUUAUCGACAACUGCUAUGGAAUCAAUGACAACAUUAUUAGUCCUGUUUUUCAUUAUUAGAUCCGAUUUAGUAGCAGUUCAGGUUCCUGAUUUUAACCCCUAGACAGCAAGAUCCAAGUUCCCUUGUUUGCACAUUAGCACCUAAGUGCUAAGGGGUUAAAUAACCAGCACCAAAGAUACUGAGCUUCUGACUGUAGCAUUUGGCAGGAUUGAAAGGAAAGGAAGUUGUGCUACAUGUUGAAGGAAUUGUGAGCAAUAGAAAAAAGACCAAGAGAAGAUAAAAUGUUGCCAGACCGUCUUUCACAGUGGCCUAUGUCCUCCUCUAGGAGCCACACCUUUCUCUGUCUUUUGGCUUUGCUUAGCUUUCUUCUGUUUUUCACAGGUCUCACACAGUGUCUGGGUCCCACGAGUGGGUGUCCACUGCCCUGCUGCCAUCGCUGGCAUCUCCAGGUGGAUGUGAGUGUGUGUGAGGGAAAAGCCAAGCAGAUGUGAGUCACUGAGCUGGCUCUAAGUGGCUGGCUGUCUUUUCUUCUUGUAAGGAGAAGUGGCGGGGAAGCCGUGCUGGGGAGAACCAGCCAGGGAGCUGGUCACCCUGUGUGCUGGUAGAGAGUCUGCCACCCGGGAGAAGCAGAGGGAAACCAUCUCUGCCACUGCCUCAUCCCUCCCCUAAGCAACCAGACAGGCCACAGGCUGAGGUGACAGUAAAUGAAGCAAGGUAGCAACCUGACAUUUAAGUUGUUUGAUUGACUUUGCAAACCUGGAGCCAGUAGCUUGAGCAACUAAUUAGAGGAUAAAAUGAUGAAGUACAGUAAUGACUGUGGAUUUCCUGCUGCCCUAUCAUUGCCUUGUUUUGUUUUACUUUACUGUUUUACUUUCUUUUAAAAAAGGACAUUUGUCGGAGUUUAUCUUCACUUAAGCUCUAUUGUGGAGAUAGGUUUGUUUAUGUUAUUCCUUUUUUGGCUUUGAAUGUCCAUAGAUCUAUAGUGGUAUAACCAGAAACUCAUCGAUUUUAUCAGUCUGUUCAAAGAAUCAGUUUUUGAUUGUGUUGCUUUCUCUCUUGAUUUCCUGUUUUAAAUUUCAUUGAUUUCUACUCUAAUUUUAUUGUUUCUUUUCUUCUGUUACUUUGAAUUAAGAGUCUCUUCUUUUUUUAAUUUCCUAAAGUAGAAACUUAGGAUCCUGGUUUUAGAGCUUUGUUCUUUUCAAAUUAGGCACUCAGUGCUAUAAUUUUUCCUCUAAUUACUGCUCUUGUUGCAUUGUACAAAUUUUGAUAAAGUUAUGCUUUUAUUUUCAUUUAGUACAAAAUACCUCAAAAUUUCUCUUGAGAUAUAUUAUUUUAUCUGUAUGUUAUGUAGAAAUAUGUUGUAUAAUCUCUAUGUAUUUGGAACCUCCAGCUACCUUUCUAUGAAAUGGUUAUGUUUAAUCUAAGACAAAAUCAAUCUAUAUCCUUUUAAGUGUUUCUGAAAUACACCUUUGUGUGGGGAGUAGAAUGUUAUGAUAAAUUUUUCCAGUUAACUUCUGUAUGAAUUCAUCAGAAUGAGCUGUGGUCACCUCCCAGUUAAUAAAUUUCAAUCAUUUUAGCAUUA